GACGAACGCUGGCGGCGUGCUUAACACAUGCAAGUCGAACGGAAAGGCCCUGCUUUUGUGGGGUGCUCGAGUGGCGAACGGGUGAGUAACACGUGAGUAACCUGCCCUUGACUUUGGGAUAACUUCAGGAAACUGGGGCUAAUACCGGAUAGGAGCUCCUGCUGCAUGGUGGGGGUUGGAAAGUUUCGGCGGUUGGGGAUGGACUCGCGGCUUAUCAGCUUGUUGGUGGGGUGGUGGCGUACCAAGGCUUUGACGGGUCGACGGCCUGAGAGGGUGAGCGGCCACCUUGGGACUGAGAUACGGCCCAGGCUCCUACUGGUGGCAGCAGUGGGGAAGAUUGCACAAUGGGCGGCAGCCUGAUGCAGCAACGCCGCGGGCGGGAUGGCGGCCUUCGGGUUGUAAACCGCUUUCGCCUGUGACGAAGCGUGAGUGACCGUAAUGGGUAAAGAAGCCCCGGCUAACUACGUGC
rnacentral:rRNA from 1 species